rnacentral:rRNA from 1 species
AGCGAACGUUGGCGGCAGGCUUAACACAUGCAAGUCGAGCGGGCCCUUCGGGGUCAGCGGCAGACGGGUGAGUAACACGUGGGAACGUACCCUUUGGUUCGGAAUAACGCUGGGAAACUAGCGCUAAUACCGGAUACGCCCUUUUGGGGAAAGGCUUGCUGCCGAAGGAUCGGCCCGCGUCUGAUUAGCUAGUUGGUGGGGUAAUGGCCUACCAAGGCGACGAUCAGUAGCUGGUCUGAGAGGAUGAUCAGCCACACUGGGACUGAGACACGGCCCAGACUCCUACGGGAGGCAGCAGUGGGGAAUAUUGGACAAUGGGCGCAAGCCUGAUCCAGCCAUGCCGCGUGAGUGAUGAAGGCCUUAGGGUUGUAAAGCUCUUUUGUCCGGGACGAUAAUGACGGUACCGGAAGAAUAAGCCCCGGCUAACUUCGUG